GAUGAACGCUAGCGGCAGGCCUAAUACAUGCAAGUCGAACGAGAUUAAGAGGCUUGCUUCUUAUGAAAGUGGCGCACGGGUGCGUAACGCGUAUGCAACCUACCUUAAUCAGGGGGAUAGCCCGAAGAAAUUCGGAUUAAGACCGUAUAAAAACACAGGAUAGCAUUAUCCAAUGUUCAAAUAUUUAUAGGAUUAAGAUGGGCAUGCGUGUCAUUAGCUAGUUGGCGGGGUAACGGCCCACCAAGGCGACGAUGACUAGGGGAUCUGAGAGGAUGACCCCCCACACGGGUACUGAGACACGGACCAGACUCCUACGGGAGGCAGCAGUAAGGAAUAUUGGUCAAUGGAGGGAACUCUGAACCAGCCGUGCCGCGUGCAGGAAGACAGCCCUCUGGGUCGUAAACUGCUUUUAUUCGGGAAUAAACCUUUCUACGUGUAGGAAGCUGAAUGUACCGAAGGAAUAAGGAUCGGCUAACUCCGUG
rnacentral:rRNA from 1 species